rnacentral:rRNA from 1 species
CCCUUAGAUGUUCUGGGCCGCACGCGCGCUACACUGAUGCAUUCAACGAGCCUAUCCUUGACCGACAGGUCCGGGUAAUCUUUGAAUCUGCAUCGUGACGGGGAUAGAUUAUUGCAAUUAUUAAUCUUCAACGAGGAAUGCCUAGUAGGCGCAAGUCAUCAGCUUGCGUUGAUUACGUCCCUGCCCUUUGUACACACCGCCCGUCGCUACUACCGAUUGAAUGGUUCAGUGAGAUAAUCGGAUAGGUAACUCGGUGAGCAGCAAUGUUUACCAAGCAUACAUAGAAGACGAUCAAACUCAGUCAUCUAGAGGAAGUAAAAGUCGUAACA